CCAUGGUCGUAUUUCGCCACUGUAGCCCUACAUGUACCUAACGCGUAUCAUCUCUCAUUAGAGGGACCACCGAUCAUCCUAGGGAGUGGUUCACCAACACUUUUUUCGGACGAGGGAGAAACAGAAAUCCCUCAUAGAUAAUAUUCAAAAGAAUUUUUCCAUACCUUUCACUUGAUUAUUUCAUGCUCACAACAAUUCCAUAUUUGUUUCUUAUGCAUACUACAUGUUCAAUGCAACCUUUUCGAAUC
rnacentral:lncRNA from 1 species